GCGACUUCUAGGUCUUUUGGCUUUGAUCAAGUAUAGCAAUGGUUCUUAUCAGUUUAAUAUCUGAUAUCCCUCUAACUGAGGCCUGCAUGUUAGAAAGAUUGAGCAUGG
rnacentral:snRNA from 1 species